GGGACCUGAUGGAAUACACCCAAAGCUAUUAAAAGAGCUUAGUGGUGUACUAGCAAAACCAUUAACAGAUUUAUUUAACCAAUCAUUGUUAACAGGAGUAGUCCCAGAAGAUUGGAAUUUAGCGAAUGUUGUGCCCAUUUACAAGAAAGGUAAUAGGGAGGAGUCGGGCAACUAUAGGCCAGUAAGCCUUACUUCAGUAGUGGGGAAAGUG